UUGAACUGAAGAGUUUGAUCAUGGCUCAGAUUGAACGCUGGCGGCAGGCCUAACACAUGCAAGUCGAGCGGUAGAGAGAAGCUUGCUUCUCUUGAGAGCGGCGG
rnacentral:rRNA from 1 species